rnacentral:rRNA from 1 species
AUUGAACGCUGGCGGCAGGCCUAACACAUGCAAGUCGAGCGGUAGAGAGGUGCUUGCAUCUCUUGAGAGCGGCGGACGGGUGAGUAAUGCCUAGGAAUCUGCCUGGUGGUGGGGGAUAACGUUCGGAAACGGACGCUAAUACCGCAUACGUCCUACGGGAGAAAGCGGGGGAUCUUCGGACCUCGCGCCAUUAGAUGAGCCUAGGUCGGAUUAGCUAGUUGGUGAGGUAAUGGCUCACCAAGGCGACGAUCCGUAACUGGUCUGAGAGGAUGAUCAGUCACACUGGAACUGAGACACGGUCCAGACUCCUACGGGAGGCAGCAGUGGGGGAAUAUUGGACAAUGGGCGAAAGACCUGAUCCAGCCAUGCCGCGUGUGUGAAG